rnacentral:rRNA from 1 species
UACGUAGGGUGCGAGCGUUGUCCGGAAUUAUUGGGCGUAAAGGGCUCGUAGGCGGUCUGUCACGUCGGGAGUGAAAAUUCAGGGCUUAACCCUGAGCCUGCUUCCGAUACGGGCUGACUAGAGGUAUGCAGGGGAGAACGGAAUUCCUGGUGUAGCGGUGAAAUGCGCAGAUAUCAGGAGGAACACCGGUGGCGAAGGCGGUUCUCUGGGCAUUACCUGACGCUGAGGAGCGAAAGUGUGGGGAGCGAACAGG